GCUAAAUCCCUGGCCCAUACCACAGCCAGUUUACAUGAAAUAGGUGUUCAAAAAGAAAAGAUGACUCUGAAAUUAAGGGUUAACCUCCAGCUAAAAGGCCUGGAUUACCUCCUCUCUAACAAGGACAAGAGGAUCAGAGCCUGGAGUAUUAGAGGGCAAGAAAACAUCCAGAAAAAAAGAAUUGGAGAGAGCUCUCAAGAGGAAAACAGAACUGCAGAGUCUCCCUUUGUAGUUCAGGCUGGCCUCAAACUCUCCUAGAUUCUCCUGCCUCGGCCUCCCAAGUGCUGGUAUCACAGGGAUCAAACUCGGGACCUUGCGGUGCGAGGCAAGCAGCGGAACCACUGAGCUAAAUCCCUGGCCCUCAAAAGUCAGUUCCAUUUCUAGCCAGAACCUGAUUGGCUCAAUUUGGCUCUUACAGCUUGAGAAUUGGAACAAUGUCACAUGUAAUGGACCACACAUUGGGAGACCUGCCAGUUAGAGACACGGACUCAGUAUUUCUGUGGAAAGGUAA
rnacentral:lncRNA from 1 species